rnacentral:lncRNA from 10 species
UAGUGCCACAUAAUUGAAGAAAAGGUAAAUUGUCAUAGUAAAUAUAGAUUUUGUACUGCAAAUUAGACAUAAAGUUAAAUCAGAAAGUGAAUUCUGAGAAAAAUAAAUAAGAUUGCCCAUUGUUCACACUUUAGCUGAAAAAAUAUAGACUUUGGAAAUAGAUUCACCAGGACUUAAUUUUCUUCUCUUCUACCCUUUUUAAAAUUUGUGCAAUAUUCCACAGGACAUAUUUUCUGAGACUAAAUUUCCUAAUUUGAAAGAAGGAAUCUCAAUAUGAGGAAAUAAAGUAAACUUAUCAAGAUACAAGUUCAUAUAUAAUGGAAUUGGAGGUUGGCUUGGACCCUCAGCCUAGCUUCCCUGCUCUCAGACAGUGGUGGGUGGAAGUUGUUCAACAACCUGGGAGAGAGAACAAGAUGGGAGUGGUGGUGAGAGUAAGUUCUUGAGAAAAUAACAGUCUCCUCUAGGGAAUGUAGAAACUGAUGGGCCCCCUAUGCUCCAAUAAGACUUUAUAUAAACAGGUGGUGGACUGGAUUUGAUCGUCAGCCUGUGUUCGCCAAUCCUUGUUCUUGUUAAACCCUCUAGGGUAGUUGGUUCUUGCUUUCUUACUUCACGUGCACAAAGACAGACACCUGAGGACAUAAAUGCUUCCACCUCUGACCCUUUGAAAUGGCCUCUCCCAUCCUAUGCUGCCGCUGCCCCUUCUUUGGGUCAAAUUCGCUUCAUGAUGCAGGAGUGUGUCUUUCCUU